CACCUUAUCACAUUCAUUCCUAUACCUCUGCAGUACUUUUCCAUUCUUCACAAAGUGUGUGAUAGCCUUCUUGAAGAUUUUGUUAUCUCUGAAAAAGCAUUCCUUUUACAAACUAUGGGUUGCUCAUUUGAGUCUUUGGAUCAGACAUAGGUCAACUUAGGGUUUCAUCAUCUUCACUUCUCAUAAGAGGAGGCAUGUCAUCAGUCAUUAGAUCAACAUCAUCAUCAAAUGUAGUAGAGGAUACAGUCAGUUUCCCUUUAUCAUAUGUUUUUGAACCCUUUCUUAUUUGUUAUAACACCUAACCCUACUGCUUCUUUUCCAAAUAACUCAACCUCAGGAUCAACAUAAUUGUCAAACUCAACAUCAUCUUCUUCAUAUCCACUAUCAUCAACCGGUUCAAAAUGAGAAUCAUCAGAAUUAGUAUCACUAAAUUCCUCGGCAACUUGAUGCAUA
rnacentral:lncRNA from 1 species